UACGUAGGGGGCAAGCGUUGUCCGGAAUCAUUGGGCGUAAAGCGCGUGUAGGCGGCUCGGUAAGUCUGCUGUGAAAGUCCAGGGCUCAACCCUGGGAUGCCGGUGGAUACUGUCGAGCUCGAGUCCGGAAGAGGCGAGUGGAAUUCCUGGUGUAGCGGUGAAAUGCGCAGAUAUCAGGAAGAACACCCGUGGCGAAAGCGGCUCUCUGGAACGGUACUGACGCUGAGACGCGAAAGCGUGGGGAGCGAACAGG
rnacentral:rRNA from 1 species